UCAUAUAGAAAAUAAAGGUCUUGUCUUUGAAUGGGGAGAGUUAAGUCCCUCAUCCUACAAUUGAAAGAGGUUGAAAAGACAUGGCACCAAAAACAGAAAUAGUUUAUGAGACCUUUAGCUUGGAAAGGGCAUUGAAAUGGUGCAAGAAAUAGUAAUUUACAAUUCACCAUUGUCUAAGCAAACCAACCUUUUCUUCUCUCUCUUUAUGAAUUCCCCCCUCUAUAUUUUCCCAUUCUUUCACCUAACAUGUACCACUCUCAUAUCUGCAAAUGAGGUGGCUGCAAUCCCUCUUCUCUCCAUUGAAGAAGCUCUGGUUUCGCAAGCAUUCGCCUCAGAGAAACAACAGAGGGAUUUACAUUUUAUAUGAAGAUGUGAAGUCUUGCCAAUGUGAAGAUGUGCAUGUCCUCUGGUCCAUUCUGGUGGAGUCCAAUAAAUCCUCUAUGUCAUUACAUCAUUGAAGCUACAUCUUUGUGAUGAACAAUGCUACAUGUACAUACUUUUGAAUACAUAAUUGGAUACACAAAUAAUGUGUUAUCAUAUGAUUAAGUGUUACUUUAUCCUUAAUUCAAAAUCAUUCAAUCACAAGAUAACACAUAAUCUGUAUACCCAAUUAUUUACUCAAAAAUAUGUACAUAUAGUUUUAUUGAUUCAUGGUAUCAAAUGAGCAUCAACUGUUCAAUCAAUCAUAUAUAUAUUGAAUAAUACUCUUUAAUGCCGUAUCAUGUGAUAAUGAAGUAUGAGCAUUUUGAGAAUGAUAGUAAAAAAAAUUAAUGGUUAGGAGAUGGGAAAUUUGCCAAUUAUGUGUGUGUGUGUAUAUAUAUAUAUAUUAUUGGUUUUUUUUUUCUUUCUUGGGUAAUUUGUAGCUACAAUGUUAUUUAAGUUUAUUUAUCUCUCUCUAGAACUGGCUUUGCUUUAAUGUUGAAGGAAGUUGGUUUGUCCAUUUCUUUGUGGUUGGUUGUAGUAGACAAAGAAAUAUUUCAAGGAACAUGUGAAUGUGUCUUCUUCAAAA